AUGUCUGGGCGUGGCAAGGGCGGCAAGGGGCUCGGCAAGGGCGGCGCCAAGCGCCACCGGAAGGUGCUCCGCGACAACAUCCAGGGCAUCACCAAGCCGGCGAUCCGGAGGCUGGCGAGGAGGGGCGGCGUGAAGCGCAUCUCGGGGCUCAUCUACGAGGAGACCCGCGGCGUCCUCAAGAUCUUCCUCGAGAACGUCAUCCGCGACGCCGUCACCUACACCGAGCACGCCCGUCGCAAGACCGUCACCGCCAUGGACGUCGUGUACGCCCUCAAGCGCCAGGGCCGCACCCUCUACGGCUUUGGCGGCUGA
rnacentral:rRNA from 1 species